CCUACGGGUGGCAGCAGUGAGGAAUAUUGGUCAAUGGGCGGAAGCCUGAACCAGCCAAGUAGCGUGAAGGAUGACUGCCCUAUGGGUUGUAAACUUCUUUUAUAUGGGAAUAAAACAGGGUAUGCAUACCCUCUUGUAUGUACCAUAUGAAUAAGGAUCGGCUAACUCCGUGCCAGCAGCCGCGGUAAUACGGAGGAUCCGAGCGUUAUCCGGAUUUAUUGGGUUUAAAGGGAGCGUAGGUGGAUUGUUAAGUCAGUUGUGAAAGUUUGCGGCUCAACCGUAAAAUUGCAGUUGAAACUGGCAGUCGUGAGUACAGUAGAGGUGGGCGGAAUUCGUGGUGUAGCGGUGAAAUGCUUAGAUAUCACGAAGAACUCCGAUUGCGAAGGCAGCUCACUGGACUGCAACUGACACUGAUGCUCGAAAGUGUGGGUAUCAAACAGGAUUAGAUACCCGAGUAGUC
rnacentral:rRNA from 1 species